rnacentral:rRNA from 1 species
GACGAGGGGUCCUAGCGUUGUUCGGAAUCACUGGGCGUAAAGCGUAUGUAGGCGGGCUUUUAAGUCAGGUGUGAAAUCCCACGGCUCAACCGUGGAAUUGCAUUUGAAACUGGAAGUCUUGAGUGUGGGAGAGAUUGGUAGAAUACCUGGUGUAGUGGUGAAAUACGUAGAUAUCAGGUGGAAUACCGGUGGCGAAGGCGGCCAAUUGGCCCAACACUGACGCUGAGAUACGAAAGCCAGGGGAGCAAACGGG